UACGUAGGGUGCGAGCGUUAAUCGGAAUUACUGGGCGUAAAGUGUGCGCAGGCGGCCGCGCAAGUCGAGUGUGAAAGCCCCGAGCUUAACUUGGGAAUUGCGCUCGAAACUACGUGGCUGGAGUGUGGCAGAGGAAGGUGGAAUUCCAGGUGUAGCGGUGAAAUGCGUAGAUAUCGGGAGGAAUACCAGUGGCGAAGGCGGCGACCUGGGCCAAUACUGACGCUGAGGUGCGAAAGCGUGGGGAGCAAACAGG
rnacentral:rRNA from 1 species